rnacentral:rRNA from 1 species
UGUUUCGGCAAGGGGGUCAUCCCGACUUACCAACCCGAUGCAAACUGCGAAUACCGGAGAAUGUUAUCACGGGAGACACACGGCGGGUGCUAACGUCCGUCGUGAAGAGGGAAACAACCCAGACCGCCAGCUAAGGUCCCAAAGUCAUGGUUAAGUGGGAAACGAUGUGGGAAGGCCCAGACAGCCAGGAUGUUGGCUUAGAAGCAGCCAUCAUUUAAAGAAAGCGUAAUAGCUCACUGGUCGAGUCGGCCUGCGCGGAAGAUGUAACGGGGCUAAACCAUGCACCGAAGCUGCGGCAGCGACGCUUAUGCGUUGUUGGGUAGGGGAGCGUUCUGUAAGCCUGUGAAGGUGUGCUGUGAGGCAUGCUGGAGGUAUCAGAAGUGCGAAUGCUGACAUAAGUAACGAUAAAGCGGGUGAAAAGCCCGCUCGCCGGAAGACCAAGGGUUCCUGUCCAACGUUAAUCGGGGCAGGGUGAGUCGACCCCUAAGGCGAGGCCGAAAGGCGUAGUCGAUGGGAAACAGGUUAAUAUUCCUGUACUUGGUGUUACUGCGAAGGGGGGACGGAGAAGGCUAUGUUGACCGGGCGACGGUUGUCCCGGUUUAAGCGUGUAGGCUGGUUUUCCAGGCAAAUCCGGAAAAUCAAGGCUGAGGCGUGAUGACGAGGCACUACGGUGCUGAAGCAACAAAUGCCCUGCUUCCAGGAAAAGCCUCUAAGCAUCAGGUAACAUCAAAUCGUACCCCAAACCGACACAGGUGGUCAGGUAGAGAAUACCAAGGCGCUUGAGAGAACUCGGGUGAAGGAACUAGGCAAAAUGGUGCCGUAACUUCGGGAGAAGGCACGCUGAUAUGUAGGUGAAGCGACUUGCUCGUGGAGCUGAAAUCAGUCGAAGAUACCAGCUGGCUGCAACUGUUUAUUAAAAACACAGCACUGUGCAAACACGAAAGUGGACGUAUACGGUGUGACGCCUGCCCGGUGCCGGAAGGUUAAUUGAUGGGGUUAGCGGUAACGCGAAGCUCUUGAUCGAAGCCCCGGUAAACGGCGGCCGUAACUAUAACGGUCCUAAGGUAGCGAAAUUCCUUGUCGGGUAAGUUCCGACCUGCACGAAUGGCGUAAUGAUGGCCAGGCUGUCUCCACCCGAGACUCAGU